UCUAACUGACUGACAGGAAUAACAAUCUUUGAAAUUGGUUCAAUGUUUAGCCUGAUCGCUGUAACCGGCAGCCACAGACCGGCUGCAAUGUAAACCUAAGGGGCAAAUGUGCAUCGUCAAUUUGCAUUGUUUUAACACUG